AGGUGAGACUCUCAGGACAUUCCUCUCAGGAUUCUUCCAUGCACACAGGAUGCGUGUAGGAAAAAUCAAGAAGUUUGUUUCCAAAUACAUCCUUACCUCGUCGAAAGAGAGGUGCAGUCUCCCCAAACAGAGAGAGCCUCUCAUGGAUCACAUCAUAGACUGGCUGGCAAAGGCUCCGGAGGAAAAGCUGAGGAAGAUUCCCGACAUGCUAACAGCUUCAGAUCUUAACUCCAUGGCAGAAAAACUAAAGAAGAGACUCCAUGAGAUUAAGCAGCAGAACCCAAACUGCAGCUUAACAAUAGAUGAAGUAAACAAUGCUCUCUA